GGGCUCACACAAGCGGUGGAGGAUGUGGCUUAAUUCGAGGCUACGCGAAGAACCUUAUCCUAGUCUUGACAUGCUUAGGAAUCCAGCAGAAACGCUGGAGUGCCCGCAAGGGAGCCUUUGCACAGGUGCUGCAUGGCUGUCGUCAGCUCGUGUCGUGAGAUGUCGCGUUAAGUCGCUUAACGAGCGAAACCCUUGUCCUUAGUUGCCAGCGGGUAAAGCCGGGGACUCUAAGGAGACUGCCGGUGUUAAACCGGAGGAAGGUGGGGAUGACGUCAAGUCCUCAUGGCCUUUAUGACUAGGGCUGCACACGUCCUACAAUGGCAUGCACAAAGGGAUGCAAACUCGCGAGAGCCAGCAAACCCCAAAAAACAUGCCUCAGUUCGGAUUGUAGGCUGAAACCCGCCUACAUGAAGCUGGAAUCGCUAGUAAUCGCGGGUCAGAAUACCGCGGUGAAUGUGUUCCUGAGCCUU
rnacentral:rRNA from 1 species